GAUGAAGAACGUAGCGAAAUGCGAUAAGUAGUGUGAAUUGCAGAAUUCAGUGAAUCAUCGAAUCUUUGAACGCACAUUGCGCCCCAUGGUAUUCCGUGGGGCAUGCCUGUUCGAGCGUCAUUUACCCCCUCAAGCUCCGCUUGGUGUUGGGCGUCUGUCCCGCUUCGCGCGCGGACUCGCCCCAAAGGUAUUGGCAGCGGUCGUGCCAGCUUCUCGCGCAGCACAUUGCGCUUCUCGAGGCACCGGUGGGCCCGCGUCCAUCAAGCUCACCCCCCCAGUUUGACCUCGGAUCAGGUAGGGAUACCUGCUGAACUUAAGCAUAUCAAUAAGCGGAGGA
rnacentral:misc_RNA from 1 species